GUGGAGUUUACAAUAAUGGGCACCUGACCUUGGUGGGAAGAAAGGAGAAGAGAACCUGCUUCUGAUACAGAAACCUGGUGCACAAAAAGAGAGGGCUCCUGUUUGUUACCUGUUCUGAUGGCCUCACCAUCAGUGUGGCCAGCCUCCUGCUCCCUCAUCAAAACCACUUGGUGGUGAGCCAGCAAUAACACCAACGACCAGCACCCACUCCGAACCCCACGCUAUAUCAUACAGAUGCUGAGCAGAUAACUCCCAAUACUGAAGAACAGGAGGACGGGGUUAAACACCUUUUCUUAUGGAAGGAUGAAGGGAGAAAGGGCCUCUCCGACACAUUCAGCAACCAGGGAGUUAAGUGUUCUGGGCCAUCUUCCCUACCGUGCAGGUAGUGACAGAGUCAAGGAGGUCACCAUGGAUACAUCUGGCUGCAUCUGCCUGAAUUAUUUGUAUUGAACAGAUUGCUACAGGCUGUUUUUUUUUCCUUCUGGUCUCAUUAUGUGCGUGUAAUGCCAAUUAAAUAACAGGAAUGAAAAUUAAAAAGGAAAAUACCUGCCCCUGCUGGGUUUAAUCUCAUUAGAGCAAAGUCAAAUGAUUAGUCCUAAAAAGGGAUCCAACAGGCAGCAAAGACCACAUUA